rnacentral:tRNA from 1 species
GGGGUUGUGGCUCAGUUGUAGAGCAUUCACCUAGCAUGUGUGAGGCCCUGGGUUUGAUUCUCAGAACCACA